UAUUAUUGAGGAUGUAAAUUUUUUUUUUGAGUAGUAUUAGUUAAUUUCUUGAAACUUAAAGAAUUUGGCGGUAUUUUAUUCCUUUCAGAGGAAUCUGUCUUGUAAUCGAUAGUCCGCGUUGAACCUUUCUUUUUUUAUUUUUGUAUACCUCCGUUUUAAGAGAAUCUUUUUAGGGAUUUAAUUUUCUUUUUUCUUUUAUGGAUUUUACUUCAGGUCAAGGUGCAGAUUUUAUUGAAGUUAUGAUGGAUUACAUUGUUUUUUAUUUUUUUUGGAUUAAUUGCUUGAAUUUUUUAUGAAAUUGGAUUUGAUUGUAAUGUUGUGUAGAUUGUCUGCAUGAAAAGGUUCUAUAAUAUGUACACAUCGCCCGUCACUCUCGUUUAUUUAU
rnacentral:rRNA from 1 species